rnacentral:rRNA from 1 species
UAGGGAAUCUUCCACAAUGGACGAAAGUCUGAUGGAGCAACGCCGCGUGAGUGAAGAAGGGUUUCGGCUCGUAAAACUCUGUUGUAAGAGAAGAAUGACAUUGAGAGUAACUGUUCAAUGUGUGACGGUAUCUUACCAGAAAGGAACGGCUAAAUACGUGCCAC